rnacentral:rRNA from 1 species
GACGAACGCUGGCGGCGUGCCUAAUACAUGCAAGUAGAACGCUGAAGGAGGAGCUUGCUUCUCUGGAUGAGUUGCGAACGGGUGAGUAACGCGUAGGUAACCUGCCUGGUAGCGGGGGAUAACUAUUGGAAACGAUAGCUAAUACCGCAUAAUAUUGACUAUUGCAUGAUAGUCAGUUGAAAGGUGCAACUGCACCACUACCAGAUGGACCUGCGUUGUAUUAGCUAGUUGGUGGGGUAACGGCUCACCAAGGCGACGAUACAUAGCCGACCUGAGAGGGUGAGCGGCCAGACUGGGAGUGGGACACGGCACAGAGUCCUAGGGGAGGGAGCAGUAGGGAAACUGCGGGAAUGGGCGGAAGUCUGACCGAGCAGCGCGGCGGGAGUGAAGAGGGUUUUCGGAUCGUGGAGCUCUGUUGUAGGGGAGGAACGAGUGUGAGAGUGGGAAGCUCACAGUGUGACGGUAUCUUACCAGAAAGGGACGGCUAGCUACGUG